GACGAACGCUGGCGGUGUGCCUAACACAUGCAAGUCGAGCGAAGUGAGUACUACGGUACGAACUUAGCGGCGGACGGGUGAGUAACGCGUGGACAAUCUACCCUGUAGACUGGGAUAACACCUCGAAAGGGGUGCUAAUACCGGAUAAUGUCGAGAAGCGGCAUCGCUUUUCGAAGAAAGGAGAGAAUCCGCUAUAGGAGGAGUCCGCGUCCCAUUAGCUAGUUGGUGAGGGUAACGGUCCACCAAGGCGACGAUGGGUAGCCGGCCUGAGAGGGUGAACGGCCACACUGGAACUGAGACACGGUCCAGACUCCUACGGGAGGCAGCAGUGGGGAAUAUUGUGCAAUGGGGGAAACCCUGACACAGCAACGCCGCGUGAGCGAAGAAGGCCUUCGGGUUGUAAAGCUCAAUAGUAUGGGAGGAUAAUGACGGUACCAUACGAAAGCCCCGGCUAACUACGUGCCAGCCGCCGCAGUAACAC
rnacentral:rRNA from 1 species